rnacentral:rRNA from 1 species
GACGAACGCUGGCGGCGUGCUUAACACAUGCAAGUCGAACGGAAAGGCCCUGCUUUUGUGGGGUGCUCGAGUGGCGAACGGGUGGGUAACACGUGAGUAACCUGCCCUUGACUUUGGGAUAACUUCAGGAAACUGGGGCUAAUACCGGAUAGGAGCUCCUGCUGCAUGGUGGGGGUUGGAAAGUUUCGGCGGUUGGGGAUGGACUCGCGGCUUAUCAGCUUGUUGGUGGGGUAGUGGCUUACCAAGGCUUUGACGGGUAGCCGGCCUGAGAGGGUGACCGGCCACAUUGGGACUGAGAGACGGCCCAGACUCCUACGGGAGGCAGCAGUGGGGAAUAUUGCACAAUGGGCGGAAGCCUGAUGCAGCAACGCCGCGUGCGGGAUGACGGCCUUCGGGUUGUAAACCGCUUUCGCCUGUGACGAAGCGUGAGUGACGGUAAUGGGUAAAGAAGCACCGGCUAACUACGUG